AUUGAACGCUGGCGGCAGGCCUAACACAUGCAAGUCGAACGAGUGGCGGACGGGUGAGUAAUGUCUGGGAAACUGCCUGAUGGAGGUGGAUAACUACUGUAAACGGUAGCUAAUACCGCAUCCCAUCAGCUGUGCCCAGAUGGGAUUAGCUAGUUGGUGGGGUAACGGCUCACCAAGGCGACGAUCCCUAGCUGGUCUGAGAGGAUGACCAGCCACACUGGAACUGAUACACGGUCCAGAGUACGACGGGAGGCAGCAGUGGGGAAUAUUGCACAAGGGGCGCAAGCCUGAUGCAGCCAUGCCGCGUGGAUGAAGAAGGCCUUCGGGUUGUAAAGUACUUUCAGCGGGGAGACGUUACCCGCAGAGGAAGCACCGGCUAACUCCGUGCCAGCAGCCGCGGUAAUUUC
rnacentral:rRNA from 1 species